UGGUUAAAUGGAAAGUUCGAAUCCAAUCACGUUAUAGAUGAAGAAUCACGGACCUUUCACAGUAAGUCUUGAAAAUAGAGUUUAGGUUAAUAUCUACUAUCCGGGUUGUUAGAGAUUUAAACGCAAGAUGGCUUCGUGUGAUGACGGCGAGACAAAAUCUAGCUACUUUAAUAAUGAAACAGGUAUUAAGGGGAUACGAAAGAAAAAGGCAAAAUUUACUAUUUACGCCGAAGAAGAUUCUGUAAAAAAAGAAAUUAAUUUUGAUUCGAAGCAUUUUAUAAAAAGAGAACCCAACAGUUAUCGUAACUUGCCAGGACUACCUCCUCAGAAGCACCAUAGUUCGCGCAGCGACACUGAAGGCGCGAGUCCGCUGUGUACGUUGGAUACUGAUGUACUGUUAUGGCCGGUUUUAGGAAAUAAAACUAAGAGAGAAGCACGAAGAUAUGAACAUGGCAUGAAAAAGAAGAAGAAGAAACACAAAACAACAGAUGAAACAACUACAAAGAAGUCGUAUUUAGAGAAAAAGAGGCAAAAAUGUGAUAAAAAAGUUGAUCACUCAAAGUACUCAAUUCCAAAAUAUUCUUCUAAGAAAGAGUUGGAGACUAAUGAAUUCAAACCUUCCAAUAGUUUGAAAAAUCCUAAUGAUGUCCAGUUUUAUGCUAAGGAUGCCCAUCAAAUAUGUUGUGGUAAAAUUGUCCACCUGUCAUCUUACUGCAGGUUUCACCGACUUGAGGAUGAUAUUCAGGGCAGCAGUGUUUCUAGUACAAGCCACUUUAAAGGGACACAACUUAAGCAAAAUCCUGGAGAAGUUUAUCAAAGAACAGUUAUUGAACAGGAUCUAAUUAAACAAGAAUCACAGACAGAAUUAUCUGAAAAUUUGCAUGAACUGCAUCCAAGUGAUAGUGGUCAAUUGUCAUUCAAGAAAAUGGGUUGGAAUGAAAUGGAUAGGCUGAAAGCAAACACUUUAGUAGAAGACAAACAUUUCAUUACACAAAGAUAUUUUGUAAGCCCAGAUGACAUGAGGUAUAAUUACAGAAACAAAGAACAACAACAAAAACAAAGUGUCAAAGAACCAAACUGUACUAUCAAUGUUACUUGUGAUGACCCUGGAAUCUGUAAAAGAACUGUUCCAUUCACUGAUACUAAGAUACCUUUCCCUGUAAGCCCACAGAAUUGCAAAAAAUCUGAAAUUGUACAAGCUAGCAGUGCUUGGAAGAAGUUAUCUGAGGAAGAAAGAAAUAAAGAUUUGUCAACAGAAACCUGGAAAAAGAAGGAAACUUCUAUUGCUAGUAGCUCUGGAGAUUUUAAGCCUCAGGAAACUUUAUAUAUUGGAAAACAAGAUAGAAAAAAAACAGAUUAUGCUGUAUGUGACAAGAAGAUGCUACAUAGAAAGUAUUCCAAAUCUAACAAAGAAAAGGAAAAAGUCAUCACCAAAAAAAUUAAGUGUAAGGUCAAUGAUGUCAAAGUUUCCAUGGAAGCAAAUCCAAAGUGCCCUGUAUCAAAAGAACAGCCUUACAAUCACAAUGUCAUAACGAACAGUGGUGUAGUGAGAAAUAUGCUUGAAUCAAGGACAAGUCAAACUAAACACACACCAACAUCAUCUACACAAAACAACACUCAUUCAGUAGAGCAAGGUAGUGAUAAUAUAUCUCAUAGAAAGAUAGGAAUAAAAUCUGUUGAGAAAUCUAAAGAAAAAAGUAUUCCACCAGAAGGGAAGAUGGCAGUGGCGGGUAAAUAUAAAGCAAAAAAUAUCUGUGGUCGAUGUAACAAGAAAAUUCCCUGUUGUGAGCAUGUUGGUGUCCAGUGUAAGCAGGAAUUACCUGUGAAAUUAUGUUAUCGUAUAGCUGAUUCAAAACCUAUCAAAGAGAUAGAGCUCUCACAAAAGAUAUCCCGAUUGUUACCCUCCUCAGACUUUGAACAUCUAAAAUAUGGUAAAUACAUAAGGAAAGAAACUGAUCCAAAUGGUGGAGCCUCUUUGCUGCACAUGUACUGGGAUGAAAUCUGUCACCUCAGUAAUUCUGAAAUGGAAGAUCUUGCCCAGGAAUUUCUUCAGGAAAGUUUUAAGGAAGACCCACCUGGGGUGGCUCAUUAUGUUAUUUCUAUUGUACACAACUCUGCUUACUUCAUACCCGAUUUGCUGGAAUACAUGACUGAAAACUAUCCUCAACUGGUGGUCAAAGCAGGUUCCUUAGCUCGCCACUCAGAUAUUGAAACGACCACUUUGUCCAAGUAUCGAGAACAGGUCCAUAAAACUUACAAUAAUGGCACUUUCCGUGCUGGACCUUUACAUCAAAUCAGCUUGGUUGGAACAGUUCACGAGGAGGUUGGUGGAUAUUUUCCAGAAUUUCUUCAAAUGUUGGAAAGCUGUCCUUUCCUACGAUUGACCAUGCCAUGGGGUGAGAUGUCUUCUAUACAAAUGGAAUCACCUCAAGAGAGCAAUGAUGGCCCAAUCUUAUGGAUCCGUCCAGGAGAGCAGUUGGUCCCAACAGCAGAUAUGACACCAAAAUCUUCUGUUAAAAGAAAACGGAGUGAGUUACAAAACCUUCAGUACUUACCUCGCUCUUCAGAGCCAAGAGAAAUCAUGUUUGAAGACCGGACUAAGUGUCAUGCUGACCAGGUUGGCCAAGGUUUUGACAGGUUUACUACUGCUGCUGUAGGCCUUUUGAAGGCUGUCCAUUGUGGUCAUGAGUACAGCAGUAACAGAAUCACCAAAGAUGUUGUUGCUUUUCAUGCUGGUGACUUUUCAGAAUUAGUGAGAAAGUUACACGUAGAUCUUCAUGAGCCUCCAGUUUCACAAUGUGUCCAGUGGGUGGAGGAUGCCAAACUCAAUCAACUUCGUCGUGAAGGAGUUCGCUAUGCACGUAUUCAACUUCGUGACAAUGACAUUUAUUUUUUACCUAGAAACAUCAUACAUCAGUUUCGAACUGUGACUGCUGUUACAAGCAUUGCCUGGCACGUGCGAUUAAAACCAUACCAUCCCAACUUUCAAAUAGAAAAUGCUUCAAAAAAGAACAGUGUGAGUAGUGUUGAAACUGUAGGUCUAAUAUCAUGUAAACUUGAGGAAAAUAAAGACUCUCCUAAAAAACAUCAUCAUCUUGCAAAAGCUAAAAGAAAAAGCUCAGUGAAACCAGAUGAACUUUUGAAAAAGAGAUCUUUACUUAAAAAAAAGAAAACUAAAAAUAAACUUCAUACUCUCCUGACAUUCAGCAAUAAAAAUGAAACUGAGCAGGAAAUCCACAGUACUAGGGUAGUAGAAACUCCUGUGAAAAAAACAAUUAAUAGAGAAUCUGUUAUACCAGUCUCUUCAGUGUGUUCAACAGAGAAAGAAAAACAAACUGUCAACUCUUGAACAGUUCAUAAGUAAAAAAAAACAAGCAGUUAAUCAGGAUCCAAGUUCUGAAGUACCAAAGGCAUAAAAACAUACCCUUGAAUGUUGCAUUAAUAGGCAAACAUUUCAGAGGUUCCUUGUUUAUUAACAAAAAUAGACAUCUCUAAGAUCCCUUGAGUGUUAUAAUAACAGAAACAGACAUUUCUGGAGUACAUUGAUUGUUGCAGUAAUAAGAACAGGCAUCUCCGAGGUGCCUUGAAUGUUGAAAUAAUAGAAACAGACAUCUCCGAGGUGCCUUGAAUGUUACAAUAAUAGAAACAGACAUCUCCGAGGUGCCUUGAAUAUUAUAAUAACAGACAUAGACAUAUUCAAAGUGCCUUAAAUGAUGAAGAAUACAGUCUGAAUGAAACAAAUGACUUCUUUAAACUUUGUUCUCUAGCUACAGAUGAAUAUUUCUGAUAACCUCGCCAUGGCAACUAAAGGUGAAAUUGGCUCAGCAACUUGAAUAGGCCUACAUCUUCUGAUUAGUUCAGAUCAGUAAAUGGAUUUGUGUCAUCGCCAGACAUUUUCAUUUUAGGAACUACCUUGUCUGUGGUGUGUUACUGUUUUGUUGGUGGUAUCAGCAAAACUUGCUUUUAUAAUUAGUUAUUUUUAUUCUGAGGUUUUACCAGAGAAUGAUUGAGGAAAUGUUUCUUUUAAGUCUAAACAAGAGAAUUAUUUAUAAAAUAUAUCUGUUAAAUUUAAAGCUUUUCAUAAGAAUAUAUAAUUUAGAGAUAAUUUUAUCAUCAAAUGCACUGGGAAAUCUUGCUGAUAUGUUUUGGUUGUUCAAAAUAGUUGCUUCUUUUCAUGUAAUC